GGUUUUUGGGUGGAUUAGUGGCGAACGGGUGAGUAAUACGUGGGUAACCUGCCCUCCUUUUUGGGAUAAGCCUUGGAAACGGGGUCUAAUACCGAAUAUUCUGGCGCUCUCGCAUGGGGGUGUUGGGAAAGCUUUUGUGUGAAGGGGGAUGGGCUCGCGGCCUAUCAGCUUGUUGGUGGGGUGAUGGCCUACCAAGGCGGUGACGGGUAGCCGGCCUGAGAGGGUGACCGGCCACAUUGGGACUGAGAUACGGCCCAGACUCCUACGGGAGGCAGCAGUGGGGGAUAUUGCACAAUGGGCGAAAGCCUGAUGCAGCGACGCCGCGUGGGGGAUGAAGGCUUUCGGGUUGUAAACCUCUUUCGCUAUCGAACAAGGCCCGCUUAGG
rnacentral:rRNA from 1 species